GACGUAGGGCGCGAGCGUUGUCCGGAAUUAUUGGGCGUAAAGAGCUCGUAGGCGGUUCGGUAAGUCGGGUGUGAAACCUCCAGGCUCAACCUGGAGUCGCCACUCGAUACUGCUGUGACUAGAGUCCGGUAGGGGAGCGUGGAAUUCCUGGUGUAGCGGUGAAAUGCGCAGAUAUCAGGAGGAACACCAGCGGUGAAGGCGGCGCUCUGGGCCGGAACUGACGCUGAGGAGCGAAAGCGUGGUAGCAAACAGG
rnacentral:rRNA from 1 species